CCAGGAGUUGCUUCCUCAGGAGGGAACAGAAGUUCAACAUUCUCAUGCUUUGCAUCAGAAGCCGCCAUCAGCAUUCCGCAGGAUUUGACCCCACGCAUAUUUCUUGGCUUCAGAAAAAACACCAAUAUAAUGCCAAUUCCAGCCUCAAAUCCACUUCUGCACUGUUGCCAUGCACACACAAAGAAGCAACUAUUCAACCAGUCAUAAGUUUGUCUACAUAAUCCAUCAUUGUAUACAUUAUUUGCACAACAUAAAGUGUGUUGCUUGUAGAAUUCACACUGUGCAAAUGAUGCACAAAGAGCAGUCAGUAGAAAUCACUGUUUCUUCCACUACACGGAUUAUCCAAAUGAAUAGAAGUUUUGAUUUGAAAGUUGAAACCACAUAAACUAUCAAGAGAGGACAAUCUGAACUAGUUCUUUAGUGACA